rnacentral:lncRNA from 1 species
AUACAAAACUGCAUGAUUUAAAAGUGUGAUAGAACAUUUACAGGUGAAUCUGACCACUGCAAGAGUAGAAUAACAAGUCAGACGAAGCAGAAGAGCAGUUUUCAUAUCCUCAGCUUUACCAGUGGGGCCUUACACACCUUUGCCAGUGAGGAAUAGGAGGAAUUGAUUGUAUAAUAUCUAUCAUAAACUCUGGGAUACACAGAUAAAAGGAACAUCAUAAGAAUAAUGACUUUUUAUUGAUGACUGCUUUGAGAUGAAAUUAAUGCAUCUUCUGUCUGCAAAGAUGAAGCAAUUUAAAAAGGAGAAUAGAACAUAUUCGGUGUUGGAGAAGGCUGGCAUGUCUGAGGUGAAGUCUGAGCAAGUUCAUUUUACUCUGUAAAUGCAUGAAAAUGUACCUCUUUUUUGGACACCAGAAGCUGACAGAAAACACUUUUCAUUCACAGUAGCAACUACUGCAACCUGAACAUCUUCCACUGUCAGCAAGAGUGAACUUACUCUUACUUGCCCACUUACUAACACCUUGCUUGGUACAAUCUCAGUGAAAAUCUCUAAUUAUGAUGUACUAAUUUACUGAAAUGCAGUAUUGCAGACAUUUAAACAAAUGAUUUCACAUUUUGUUGCAGCACCUGGC